rnacentral:rRNA from 1 species
GUCUCCGGCCACGCCGCCCUGAACGAGCCCGAUCCCGUCGGAUCUCGGAAGCUAAGCCGGGGCGGGCCUGGUCGCGGAAACU